rnacentral:misc_RNA from 1 species
UAAAUUACGUGCUUUCCGUCCACCA